rnacentral:lncRNA from 1 species
UAUUUCAAAAACAAAGAACUGUGCACACAUGAAAACUUUUAGAAUACUCUCUGGGUGUGGCGUUUGGGGUGGGGAAGCACAGAGGAGCAGGGAUGGGAGGAUAUAUUCGAAUUGGAUGCGUUCGAGGGUAUUGGUGGGCUGGCUGGCUUUUCUUCAGCUUCACAAAGAAAAUCUCUCUACCUCUUUUCUCCAUUCCCAUGUCUUAUCUUUCCCUUGCCACAGCCUCUUUUGCACUGUUUAAAUUUAAUGCCUUUUCCUUGGUAAACCUAUCUUAUUCUGUUUCUCUCAUAGGUAAGCAAGUAUCUUCUAUUGUCCUUAGAAUAAAAUGGGACAUUUGGACAUUGCUCUUACAGUGGGUUCCCUCCAGCACCUGUUCACCUGACCACCAUAAAAUGGAGCAGUUUAGAGACUUCCAGCGCUCACAUUGUCUCACAGGCCAGCAAGACAGGCGGUUAAGUGGAGUGUUCAAAGCUCAGACAGACCUGCACUGGAACCCUACCUGUGGCACUUCCUACUUGAGAGACCUUGGGC